rnacentral:rRNA from 1 species
CGGGACGGGUGAGUAACGCGUGGGUAACCUGCCUUAUACUGGGGGAUAACAGCCAGAAAUGACUGCUAAUACCGCAUAAGCGCACAGAACCGCAUGGUUCGGUGUGAAAAACUCCGGUGGUAUAAGAUGGACCCGCGUGGAUUAGCUAGUUGGCAGGGCAGCGGCCUACCAAGGCGACGAUCCAUAGCCGGCCUGAGAGGGUGAACGGCCACAUUGGGACUGAGACACGGCCCAG